CCGGCAGUUGAAGUUGACGACAGAGCCCGGCUCCCGUAGGAGUCCGGGCGGAGUCCCUCUUGCGGUUGAAGUUGCAGGAGGAGCCCGGCUCCCAUAGGAGUCCGGGCGGAGUCCCCCUUGCGGUUGAAGUUGUGGGCGGAGCCCGGCUCCUGUAGGAGUUCGGGCGAAGUCCUCUCGGAGUUGCAGUCGUGGGCGGAGCCCGGC
rnacentral:lncRNA from 1 species